GACGUAGGGCGCGAGCGUUGUCCGGAUUUAUUGGGCGUAAAGAGCUCGUAGGCGGCUUGUUGCGUCGGCUGUGAAAACCCGUGGCUUAACUGCGGGCUUGCAGCUGAUACGGGCGGGCUAGAGUUCGGUAGGGGAGACUGGAAUUCCUGGUGUAGCGGUGAAAUGCGCAGAUAUCAGGAGGAACACCUGUGGCGAAGGCGGGUCUCUGGGCCGAUACUGACGCUGAGGAGCGAAAGCGUGGGGAGCGAACAGG
rnacentral:rRNA from 1 species